UCCAGCCCAGCCACCAAUCGUCAGGCGGCAACCUGAGAUGUAAACAAAAGCAUCCUCGCAGGUGGGCUGAGUUGUCCAGCUGUCCCGCCAGAGUGAAGCCUGGGAGCCACCAGCCCUGCUUCCUCUUUUCUGGGUCCCCGACAACAGAGAAGAUCUUGGUUCAAGAGUCACCAUGAUCAGGUGUCCAGCUCUAGUUUCGGUGCCCAGAGAGAAAAUGAUGAAAUCUGCCAGGCUACCAGCCACUCUGACGUGCUUUGCACAACUGGUGUUUGAACAGGGACUGACAUUAAUUUGACAUGGCCAGCCUGCUCUCACCCUGAGGAUCUGAUGACGGAGUUAGCUUGUCAGGCACACAGCCACCGUUCCCCUUGGCUGCUCUCUGCCUUCACCCUCAGCUGUUGCAACUCUUGGCCACCCUGAGCAAAGGCCCUGCCAAGCCCCUCCUCCCUGACUCAUCCACGCGGAGGAGAAGUGCUUCCAGGAGGAGCUCCCAGCAAGAGGAUGGAAUCUGGGUGCAGGGGGGAAGGAGAUACCUAUCUGGGGCCGCUCCAUCUGUUAUGAGCUGUGAGGAGGGACACAAGGAGACACAAGAUCUGCUGCUGAAUUUUUUAAAAAAUCUGCAUAUGUUUCACAUAAUAGGCAAAUAAUAAUGUUUGUUAAACUGACUUAAAUGGAACCGGGAUCGAGGACGUGUGGCUUAGGGUUGAAAUGCGUGUUGCUAUGGUAUGCCGUUGAAUCAAUAGUACUGGGGUUGGGUGGGGACGGAGAGAAUGGAAGGUGGUGACAUCUGAAACAAAGUGAGGACACAGAAGCAAAGUGAACAGAGCACGAUUAGGAAGAUGGAGACUGGUACAUAUAUACCCGUUAUAGGUACGGUUAAAUAUGUGUGUAUGCGUGUAUGUAUCCAUGCCGUUACACAUACGUGCUUAUACGUAGCAGUCUCUUCACGUGUGUAGCAAUGAUAACAUGACACGGUCAAAUUUGAAUAAAUAAGAA